rnacentral:rRNA from 1 species
AGAGUUUGAUCCUGGCUCAGGACGAACGCUGGCGGCACGCUUAACACAUGCAAGUCGAACGAGAGAAGAGGAGCUUGCUUUUCUGAUCUAGUGGCGGACGGGUGAGUAACACGUGAGCAAUCUGCCUUUCAGAGGGGGAUACCGAUUGGAAACGAUCGUUAAUACCGCAUAACAUAAUUGAACCGCAUGAUUUGAUUAUCAAAGAUUUAUCGCUGAAAGAUGAGCUCGCGUCUGAUUAGCUAGUUGGUAAGGUAACGGCUUACCAAGGCGACGAUCAGUAGCCGACCUGAGAGGGUGACCGGCCACAUUGGGACUGAGACACGGCCCAGACUCCUACGGGAGGCAGCAGUGGGGAAUAUUGCACAAUGGAGGAAACUCUGAUGCAGCGAUGCCGCGUGAGGGAAGAAGGUUUUAGGAUUGUAAACCUCUGUCUUCAGGGACGAAAAAUGACGGUACCUGAGGAGGAAGCUCCGGCUAACUACGUGCCAGCAGCCGCGGUAAUACGUAGGGAGCGAGCGUUGUCCGGAAUUACUGGGUGUAAAGGGAGCGUAGGCGGGAUCGCAAGUCAGAUGUGAAAACUAUGGGCUUAACCCAUAAACUGCAUUUGAAACUGUGGUUCUUGAGUGAAGUAGAGGUAAGCGGAAUUCCUAGUGUAGCGGUGAAAUGCGUAGAUAUUAGGAGGAACACCAGUGGCGAAGGCGGCUUACUGGACGAUAACUGACGCUGAGGCUCGAAAGCGUGGGGAGCAAACAGGAUUAGAUACCCUGGUAGUCCACGCCGUAAACGAUGA